rnacentral:miRNA from 2 species
UUCCUUCUGGUCGAUGAGGAAUAACAUCCUCAUUGAUCGGAAGGGAUUCCUUCCGGUCAAUGAGGUUUACCUCAUUAUAACAACCUCAUCGACCGGAAGGAAUCCCUUCUGGCCGAUGAGGUUGUUAUACCUCAUUGACCGGAAGGAA